rnacentral:rRNA from 1 species
CCUACGGGUGGCUGCAGUGGGGAAUAUUGGACAAUGGGCGAAAGCCUGAUCCAGCCAUGCCGCGUGUGUGAAGAAGGCCUUCGGGUUGUAAAGCACUUUCAGUGGGGAAGAAAGCCUUGGGGCUAAUACCCUCGAGGAAGGACAUCACCCACAGAAGAAGCACCGGCUAACUCCGUGCCAGCAGCCGCGGUAAUACGGAGGGUGCGAGCGUUAAUCGGAAUUACUGGGCGUAAAGCGCGCGUAGGCGGUCUGAUAAGCCGGUUGUGAAAGCCCCGGGCUCAACCUGGGAACGGCAUCCGGAACUGGCAGGCUAGAGUGCAGGAGAGGAAGGUAGAAUUCCCGGUGUAGCGGUGAAAUGCGUAGAGAUCGGGAGGAAUACCAGUGGCGAAGGCGGCCUUCUGGACUGACACUGACGCUGAGGUGCGAAAGCGUGGGUAGCAAACAGGAUUAGAUACCCUAGUAGUC